rnacentral:rRNA from 1 species
AGCGUAGACGGUGUGGCAAGUCUGAUGUGAAAGGCAUGGGCUCAACCUGUGGACUGCAUUGGAAACUGUCAUACUUGAGUGCCGGAGGGGUAAGCGGAAUUCCUAGUGUAGCGGUGAAAUGCGUAGAUAUUAGGAGGAACACCAGUGGCGAAGGCGGCUCUCUGGUCUGUAACUGACGCUGAGGCUCGAAAGGCGUGGGGAGCAAACA